GACGAACGCUGGCGGCGUGCUUAACACAUGCAAGUCGAACGGAAAGGCCCUGCUUUUGUGGGGUGCUCGAGUGGCGAACGGGUGAGUAACACGUGAGUAACCUGCCCUUGACUUUGGGAUAACUUCAGGAAACUGGGGCUAAUACCGGAUAGGAGCUCCUGCUGCAUGGUGGGGGUUGGAAAGCUUCGGCGGUUGGGGAUGGACUCGCGGCUUAUCAGCUUGUUGGUGGGGUAGUGGCUUACCAAGGCUUUGACGGGUAGCCGGCCUGAGAGGGUGACCGGCCACAUUGGGACUGAGAUACGGUCCAGACUCCUACGGGAGGCAGCAGUGGGGAAUAUUGCACAAUGGGCGGAAGCCUGAUGCAGCAACGCCGCGUGCGGGAUGACGGCCUUCGGGUUGUAAACCGCUUUCGCCUGUGACGAAGCGUGAGUGACGGUAAUGGGUAAAGAAGCACCGGCUAACUACGUG
rnacentral:rRNA from 1 species